UACGUAGGGUGCAAGCGUUGUUCGGAAUCAUUGGGCGUAAAGCGCGUGUAGGCGGUUUGUUAAGUCGAGUGUGAAAUCCCUGGGCUCAACCGAGGAAGUGCAUUCGAAACUAACUGGCUAGAAGACGGUAGAGGAAGGUGGAAUUCCAAGUGUAGAGGUGAAAAUUCGUAGAUAUUUGGAGGAAUACCGGUGGCGAAGGCGGCCUUCUGGACCGAUCUUGACGCUGAGACGCGAAAGCGUGGGGAGCAAACAGG
rnacentral:rRNA from 1 species